CUUUGACAUGGUUGAAGAGCUAGAAGAUAUGAGACUGUUUGAGUUUGACCAGUCGUUUCUCCACCUGGAGUUGCUGACACGGCAGUCGACCGGGAGGAAGAAGGAUCCAUCGGCUUCGCGUCGCCUGACCUCCACGUCGCGGCGAGCAAAAAGCUAGCCGACCUGCCCUGGCUGUCAACAUCCACAAGAUAAUUGAGCCGCUUGGAUUUGGAUGCUGUGUUGGAAAGACAAUUCAUGAGAAGAAAGUUCUAGAAUUAAUGACAGUGAUGGUUUCCGAGACCAUGGCUGAGACACGUGGCGCCGGCCGGAGGCGAUCUUGAGGACGACGAUGCCGAAACCGUAGACGUCAAAGUGCACACCUGCCGGACACCACCCGGCGUCGGCAGCAACUGGAGCACCGCCGUAACGGGGGUGGUCCGGCCGCGGGCCCCUUCGCGAAUCCGCCACCCUCGGUUCUUGGGGAUCAUCUUCAAUUACGCGCGCGGCGGGAUCUUGUCCCGCCCCGGCAUUUCGUCGAACAACUUGCGUGCGAGGCGAGAGGAGACUGAUGCCGAGCAGAUUGCUCCGUAGGUGGACGGGGAGGCAAGCUUCGGGCCUCUGGACGCGCGUGGAAGCAGCGGAGAGGGGAACAUACGUAGUCGGGCGCCGGGCAGGACGCGGAGCUCCGGCGACUUAGAGUGGAGCACGGCGCCGUCUGGUCAGCGGCGCAGCGGUCAGGCGAUCCACUCCUGACCAAACUCCAGCCCAAUUCAGGAACAAACUCCAGCGGGCCCAUAUGGCAUUUGGGGCUAAGUCUACUUUGCCUCACUCAACUCAUGCCCGUGAAUGAAUCACAUCCCUUAGACCGCAAAAUCGGGUAUAACGUGUCCCCCUACUCCCAAAACCGUUGCAAAUUGACUCUCUAGGGGGUUUCGUAGGAGGUUUUAUUCUACGUGGCAUCUUUGACCCCGUUGAUUAGCUUAGUCAGCUCGUGGCUGACGGUGGGCCCUACCUUUUUUUUUAUUUUUUAUCUUUAUCAUUGACAUGUGGGCCCCACAAGCUAGCUCAGCUAGUCAAUGGGGUCAAAGAUGCAACGCGGGACAAAACCGUCUCUGAAACCAUUUGGAGAGUUAAUUUGCAAUGGUUUUAGGAGUUGGGGAUGUGUUAUACACGAUUUUGCGGUUGUGGGAUUCAAUACGAUCAGGGAAAUGAGUUGAGUGAGUAAAUAGACUUAUUCCAUAAAGAGAUGACAAUUUGAUGAAAAAUUCGGCCUAUUAAAUCUUGGCCCAUAUAAGUCUAGGCGUCGGACAGACGGCCCGGCCCCGGCGUAUGGUAGCGAUCUAGAUGGCCCACCAUAAGAGAGCACUAUAACGAAACUGGCCCACCAACUUUUGGCCCGCUCGACUCAUUGCUCCCUUACAGAUAGCUGGGCCCAAUUUAGGCCUACAAAAAAUUGGAUCGCAACCUUUGCGAUCCAAUACGACCCGCUCAAAUUUGGAAUUCGGGCUUCGGAUGUGAGACAUUGUGACACAAAUCGGCUCGUCGUGCAGCCGUCGCCGCCGGCGACCCGUCCCCCGUCUCCGCCGCAUACGGAGGAUGCUCGGGAACACCAUCCGCUUCCUCGCGGGGACGGCGAGGGCGAUGGGGGAGGCGGCGGCCAGUGGUGUGGGCGGAGUCACCGGCUGCUCCGACGAAGGCUCGCUCCAACUCCGUCCAGUGCGGAAAAAGUGCGUCACCAAGGAAAAGAAAUGAAUGCAUGUUGACUAAGUGAAGAGGCUAAUCAUCUGCUUUGCUAAAUGUGAAAGAUGAAGCAGUUGCGUCAACUUGGUUUAUAACAAAGCGGUUGAAACACAAUUUUCAGACUGAGAUAGGCUGUCUUGCAUGUUCCUUUAGAGGAGGAAAAUAUGCAUGAUCCAUUUGAAGGCUCAAAAAGGGACAACUCCACAUCGUCGACUAAAUCUGUUUCCAUUCUGAUCAGCUAGCGCUAGAAGAUCUGGAAAUGGAGGAACAAAUGGAUUUUUUCCACGAUGAAUCAUCAAUACAUGCAGCAGGUGAUGAUCAACAAAAUGUCAAAAGAGGUGUGGUUAUGGAGUGUGUCAGGAGCUCAAGGAGUGCCGACCGGUGAGUCUGAUCUCGACAUGGGUAUGGAGGUGUGGUUAUGGAGUUUAGAUCCCCUGGCAAAAUUUUUCACCCUGUCAUAUCGAAUGUUUGGACAUAUGUAUAGAGUAUUAAAUAUAAACGAAAAAAACAACUAAUUACACAGAUUGCAUAUAAAUUACGAGGUGCCAUCCUCAUCUCCACUCAUACAACGGUGCCAUGGACAUGAGACCACAAGAAGAUCCGUCAUCACCACCGCCAUUGACAACGAUGAGAGAAGACCAGAGGGCAGUAGCGCUAGGGUUUUAGAAUUAGGUGGCGGCGCUAAGCUUUUAGUCUUUUCGGUGUGAGCUCGGAUCACGAUUUUCAAGUUGCAAUCUCUACCGGUAAUAUUCUACUGUCAGGAAUACUAAAUGAUCUUUGUUAUAAAUCCUUACCGAUCUUUUUACGGUGAUCUCUACUUCUACAAAGCCAAAGGACGUUUAUUUUUUGUAAAUAUUUGCUACUUCCAGCUUUAAAAACAAAGCUAACAGCUGCUGGAUAUCUUUCACAAAAGAAAAAGGAGAACAUCAAUAAAGGAUGUUUGUUUCACCCUUCAUCAGUUGAUUCCAAGGCAAGUACA